GAGAGGACAGAGAACGAUGGGGUCUUCCACAGCUUCACAGCGUCACCAAACCAAUGGUGACACUGCCUGCCUACGUUAGCACUUUUAAGCAGGAAAAUUCUAAAUAUCCUUAUGGUUAAAGCCACUAUUCCUUGUGUUUGCAGUCAUAACUGCUGUCGUGCCAAAGAUGGCAUUUGUACCUACGGCUAAGGAGUUUGGACUUUAUCAUGAAGAGGAAUGAAUGGGAGCUACGUAAAGGUGUGGGUGGGGUAAUGAGUUUGUCAGAUUUGUGCUCUAAAAUCAUCUCGCUGGCUGCUAUGUGCAGAAUGGGCUGGCCGUGGAGAAACCAAGGCAGAGAGACCAGGACUAGAAGAGGCCAGGAGGACCACUCUGGGGAAGGAAAACCCCCUCUUCCUCUACUGGACCCUUGGAUUUGUUUGUGCAGAGCUGGGCGGUGGGCAACUUGGAGCUUUUGUCUGCCUUUUCAGCUUCGACUGACAAUUUGAGAAGUGGGGCAGGGGGUUCAACGAUGCAUGAGCGAUGGCCAAGCAUGUAAAUUAAAACCAGCGACGCAUCGUUUCCCGCAUGCCCUCAAGAGUUAUUCUUUAUUAAAGUUCUCAUGCUGA